rnacentral:rRNA from 1 species
UACGUAGGGUGCAAGCGUUAAUCGGAAUUACUGGGCGUAAAGGGCGCGUAGGCGGCGUGUUAAGUCACUUGUGAAAUCUCUAAGCUUAACUUAGAACGGUCAAGUGAUACUGAAUGUGCUAGAGUGCAGGAAGGGGCAACCGGAAUUCUUGGUGUAGCGGUGAAAUGCGUAGAUAUCAAGAGGAACACCUGAGGUGAAGACGGGUUGCUGGGCUGACACUGACGCUGAGGCGCGAAAGCUAGGGUAGCAAACGGG